GUUGAAGCCAUAUGCGUAUUCCUGUUUGGUGAGUGUUUCUCUUUUACUAGUUGGAUACUUCUCUUUGGAUAGAUUGAUAUGUAGCCUGAUUAUUGACUCUCCUGCUUAGGAAAUCACAGAGUCUUUUUUACAUAUACACUAGUUCUCAAAAGUAUAAAAAAAUGUGGAUCUAUGGUGGUUAAUUAACUGAAUGUCAGAUAUCAGAUAGUGAUAAAACAAUUUAUCACCCCCCAUGUAUUUGCACUUGUAAUUGGCUUAUUGUCUUCCAAUCUUGAAUUUUCUUGUGUUUUUGCUUUAAUUAUUGUAGUGGUGACGUCAUGUCUCCUGCUCCACCCAAAAGACACAAAACAGACUGGAAAAUAAAAAUGAAAUUUGAUCACAAGGACAAAGAAUUUGUAAAAGCUUGUUGUAUGCACUAUGCUGAAAGUGCUCAAAUGAUGAUAAGGCACAGGAGAGAUUUAUGAGGAUAACACAUGCAUACAAUACAUUGCUAAAUUCUAGUUCCCGCAAAAAUACCAUGAAGUGCCUUGUGAUAGUUUGGAUGUUUAGAUGCUUUUAAUUAUCUGUUAGAGGU